UUUAGAGACAGAAUCAAUAAUCUGUGUUUCAGUGGCUGAGUUAAGGUUAAAGGACAAAAAUGUGUCAUAGGAAAUGUCCUCCACCUCUUCAGAACUCACACAAUAACUGAAGAGUGAAGAGAAGAAGAGGAGUAUGGCUCAGUGCUUAGCUGUGGGUGUCUGUUUCUGCUUCCAUCAGCUACUGGAUGAAGGCUCUAGGAUGGCAGGCUUGCACCCUGACCCGUCGCAUGUGAACCUCCAGCGAAAAUAGUAAGGCAUUUAGGAAAUUUCAGGUCCAACUCAAAACAACCACUACUGAAAACCUGUGCCACCUGUGCCACCUGUGCCACCGGCUGGUCAAAAAUGGUUACCGCAUCUGGAGUAGAAGCUGACUGCAAUGGAAAACUCAAAUUAACAUCCCUCCAAUGUCAGAUAUGCAUUACGUACAAUCUCUGGAUAAUAGAAAAGAUCUGGUAAGAUGCUAUAGGAAAUGGUUACCCACCAUCCAGGCUGUAUAGAAACUAAAUACAAAUGAUAGACCUUCAGAGGAACCAAAGGCCCUGCCAUUAAAAUGGCUUACAGAUGAACCUGUCUGAAUAGGGC
rnacentral:lncRNA from 1 species